AUUGAACGCUGGCGGCAGGCCUAACACAUGCAAGUCGAGCGGAUGAAGGGAGCUUGCUCCUGGAUUCAGCGGCGGACGGGUGAGUAAUGCCUAGGAAUCUGCCUGGUAGUGGGGGAUAACGUCCGGAAACGGGCGCUAAUACCGCAUACGCCCUGAGGGAGAAAGUGGGGGAUCUUCGGACCUCCCGCUAUCAGAUGAUCCUAGGUCGGAUUAGCUAGUUGGUGGGGUAAAGGCCUACCAAGGCGACGAUCCGUAACUGGUCUGAGAGGAUGAUCAGUCACACUGGAAAUGAGACACGGUCCAGACUCCUACGGGAGGCAGCAGUGGGGAAUAUUGGACAAUGGGCGAAAGCCUGAUACAGCCAUGCCGCGUGUGUGAAGAAGGUCUUCGGAUUGUAAAGCACUUUAGGUGGGGAGGAAGGGAAGUAUGUUAAUACCUUGCUGUUUUGACGUUACCAACAGAAGAAGCACCGGCUAACUUCGUG
rnacentral:rRNA from 1 species